CGUCACGAAAGUUGGUAACACCCGAAGCCCGUGGCCUAACCUUUUUGGGGGGAGCGGUCGAAGGUGGGAUUGGCGAUUGGGACGAAGUCGUAACAAGGUAGCCGUACCGGAAGGUGCGGCUGGAUCACCUCCUUUCUAAGGAGCUACCUUCAUGCCCUGUAUUUUUCAUGUUUGUUUAUUUUGGGGUGUGGCUGGCAUUGACCUGUUGUGGUUGGUGUUGGUUGUGGUGGUUUUUAGUGGAAAAAUCGUUAUGGAUUGUCUGGCAUGCUGUUGGGGUGUGGGGUAAUACUCCGUGUACUGCCUGUGCUUUUGGGUGCUCAUCGUGUUGGGUGUUCAGGGGUGUGGUGUUGGUGUGGUGGUUGAGAAUUGUAUAGUGGACGCGAGCAUCUUUGGUUUUUUGUAAGUGUUCAAGAGCGUUCGGUGGAUGCCUUGGCAUACGGAGCCGAUGAAGGACGUUGUAGCCUGCGAUAAGCCUCGGGGAGUUGGCAAACGAGCUGUGAUCCGGGGGUGUCCGAAUGGGGGAACCUGGCUAGAGUUAUUUCUAGUUACCAGCAUCUGAAUGUAUAGGGUGUUUGGGGGUAACGCGGG
rnacentral:misc_RNA from 1 species